rnacentral:misc_RNA from 1 species
UAUUAAAAAUAUGUAAUGUUCAUGUUUUCACACAGCUCCGAUGCACGACUGGAGUUUACCCCUUCAGAUUAACUGUCUAAAUAGGCACAAAAAGGCUUACUAGACUAAGAAAUAUAUUAUUACUAUAUCAAAUUGUAAAUAAAUGAAUCCAAUAACGCCAUCUAUCGGAACCUAAUUGCGUUAUUAGAAAACAUCUGAACGCCAUCUCUAACAAGGUCAUUUGUUCAGUAGAUUUUACUGUUCAAUUUUUUUAUUCCGGGGCCUUAAAUGAAAAUCGAUUCUUAAGGAGAAAACUCCAAAAACAGUCAAGUAAAUACGCCAUAUCAGAUAUAGCUCAAAAAGUUCGAGUCAAAUCUCAAUUAUAUUUAAAUGGGACCACAUGUCAAGCACCACCUAUCGAGUAAAAAAAGAAUCAUCGAUAUCGGUCCAUCCAGUAAAAUAGUAAUGAGGUUAAUAUAACGUUGGUCGACGUAAAAUAGCCAAGUAAAUAACCAGUAUUAGCGAUAACUCAAAAAUUAAAAGCUCAAAUAUAUUUAUAACGAAUAAACUGCUACUCUCUACUCUAGUGGAAUAUUGUAAUUUGAUCGAUAGUGAACGAAGUAAUUUCAUAACAUUUUGAUAGAUGGCGUUGUGGCAAAGUAUUGAACAUGACCACAGUCGUCUUAACAUCGUCAUGUAAAUACGUGUCAUCAAAGAUUACUCAAAAAUUGCUCAUUAUAUCUCAAUCAUAUUUAAAACGGACGACAUGACAAGUAUUAGCUUUUGAUUUAUACAAAAAAGAUCAAAAUCAGUGCACCCAGUAAAAAGAUAUAACGUAUAAUACAACGUAGGGUGACGAAAAAACCGUCAAGUAAAUACGCAAUAUUAGAUAUAACUCACAAA